ACGUAACUUCAGCUUUAGGACCCAGGAGGUCGAAUAUCUAGGAUGCAUUCGUCGAUUCGCAUGCUGCGAUUGGUGGUCCAGAUGCAACUCAUUUUGAGUGACAGAAAAACUGACCAAUCAUACUGUUCCUCUGAAUGGGUGGGUUCUCUUAUCACUAACUCUCAUAGAUAUGUAUCAUGUAUGUAUCUAUUAUGACAAAUUCUGCUCGCUCGCUCGCUUGGUUCGUGUUAUAAAAAUAAAUGUGACUUUACUGCGGUCUUUUUCGGUUUAUUUAGUUUUGUGUUAACUAUAUCCACAAAGUAUUCGAAUAAAUUGGUAAUGUAAAACUAUAUUCUUCGCUGUAAAUUAAUUGUGUGCUCAAUUGCGACGCCCUGUGUUGAAUUUUCCCGCGAGUACAGUAUCAUUACUGAGGGGAAAUAUAACAUUAUUCAUUUAAUUCCACAAAAGGUGAGUAAGAUAUUAAAUGUAUAAGUUGUCUUUUUAAAAUGUUUAAGCUUUCUACAUAAUGUAAAUUGAACAUUUUAUUAUUAUUAUUAAUUUCGCGACAUAUUAUCUAAAUUGUGUGUUCAUGAAGGCCUGUAACGUACUGCAGCUUCCUGCAGGCAACGUGAAACAUUGCUGAGGGAGAACUUUAUUCACAACAAAAGGAUAAAGAUGAAGAGGCGGGACUUGAGCAGCUUGUGAUGGCUGUAAUUGUAAAGAAUGGAUCUUCUAGGAGUGGAAGCCCAAAGGAUGCUGGAAUUGUUAUUGAGGCCUUAAAGGUGUUCACAGGGCAUGCUUUAUCCUUGGAUCUAUGCAUUGAAUCUAACCUCCAGUAUCCCAGGCAUCUUUUCAGGUGUUUCAGAAACUUUUCUUGGAGCUGGAUUCUUCAAAGUUUAUGAACUGAUUACAGUACAGUAAGUCUAAACUGCUGUCUGAUUUUCUGGGUGUGAAUCAAUGUAACAGAACACAAACAUGGAACCUUGUGGACGGGAAAUGUGGACGGUUUUCUUUAAAGACUGUAAAAUACUUUUUGAAGUUUACACUGUUACAAAUACAUCAUUAAAAUGAGAUGCUUUCCUGUUCUUUUGACUGCAAUAAAAUAAGAAUUGAUUCAUCUUUGUCUGUCAUUCUGAAAUCAGAUAUAAUACUCAUUACUAAUAAAAAUAUUAAUGGAUGAUGUUAAAUUAAAAUAGUAUAAUUGAAUAGAAUUUAUUGUAUAGUGCUAGGUCUUUGUCCUGUAUACCCAAUAUUUUGUUUAAAUUUAAAUUAAUUUCUAAUUGCAAAUUGCAGAUUACCUUUUUGAAUGGGUUACUAUUAAAGAGUUUAUGUAGUGAUUCUAACACAAUUUUUAUUUGUGGAAUUUAAUUAAUGAUAUUGCUUGUAAUCUGUUGCCACACUUUUAUUGAGUAGAUAUGGCAUAAUAUUUUUUAUUGUAUAGUGCUAGAUCUUUGUCUAGUAUACACAAUAUUUUUGUUUAAAUUUUAAUAAAAAUUUUAAUUGCAAA